GACGAGGGGUCCUAGCGUUGUUCGGAAUCACUGGGCGUAAAGCGUAUGUAGGCGGGCUUUUAAGUCGGGUGUGAAAUCCCACGGCUCAACCGUGGAAUUGCAUUCGAAACUGGAAGUCUUGAGUGUGGGAGAGAUUGGUAGAAUACCUAGUGUAGUGGUGAAAUACGUAGAUAUUAGGUGGAAUACCGGUGGCGAAGGCGGCCAAUUGGCCCAACACUGACGCUGAGAUACGAAAGCGUGGGGAUCAAACAGG
rnacentral:rRNA from 1 species